ensembl:lncRNA
GGGAAAGGAAAAGGAGAGAGAGAUAGGUUUAUAAAUGUAGCAGGCGAUGGUAACCAACGCAGAUUCUCACCUGUCAGGGUGAGACUCUUUAUGACGACGAAACGCUUGAGAUAUGACCCCCCUCUCGACUGCCUUCUUCCUGCGCGCUAAUGGCUCCAUUAGGGCGCAGAAUUCAUCAUGUAGAAUACCAAAAUGACACAAACACUUCCUCGCCGCACCACGGAGCCACGGUGACGCUGUCGGGGCGUCACACGCGGGCCGGGUGUAGAUGAGUGACCCCAUCUACUGCCUACCCCCACCAGCCUCUAUUGACCCCCACCGCCAGGUCAAGGACAGACCCUUGGCCCCAAGUCUAAAAGAGGGGGAGAGGGAAGGAGGUCAGGGAUAGGACGUAAAUGACUCUCUGCGUUCUCCCACCUUUGGCUACAUUAACACCUUGCAUUGUCCUGGGAAAUUGAAAAAGAGGUCUCCAAACAGGCCUUCUCUUGAACCCCCCUCCCACCUUCCAGUCAGCCAGCGCUUCGGACACGGACAUCCUGAGCUGGAGGGCCCAACACAAGAGCCAAGGCUCCAUGACAAAGCCAAUAGAGUGAACUGCCAGGGCUCGGAGCUCGGAGAGGGAUAACCAGUGCAGGAGGUUAGAGAAACAAAGUGCUCACCCCAUUGUAGGACUUCUCGUGGUGAUGGCCAAUGAACAAGUGUGUGUGUGUGUGUGUGUGUGUGUGUGUGUGUGUGUGUGUGUGUGUGUGUGUGUGUGUGUGUGUGUGUGUGUGUGUGUGUGUGUGUGAGUUUGCGCGUGUGUAUGUGUGUGUUUGGGGAAGAACACUGCGCGUGCGUGUGUCCAACGUUUAGCUGUCAAGGGUUAUUAAAACGUAUGUGUGCAUGAAGCGCUGCACCUGCUCACAGCUGACUACUCAGCUACUUGUAACAUGACGACGACAGCGUUUCACUUAGAAUCGGGCUCGGCAAAUCCCCCAAAAAAAUGUUUGACUCCUUCUAAAAAGGUAUUUCCAGUAGUUUAAGUCAGAAGUUUCAAGCCGUGAUUCAAUCCAACUAGGUUUUCCUUUUAAAAACACAUCACUACCUCAAUUCAUCCUACAUUUCCACCAAAGAAAACACGGUCACAGAGGAAGCUAGGUGAUAUCUUUUCAUUGCCCGCCGUAAUGGCACCCCUGUUUUAAAAUGACAGGUGUACGGAUGGGGCCUUCUCUUUUCCUAAGCACGCCAAACCGCGGCCAUUCACCAUGCUUUGUUUUGAGCGUAAUAGGCCCAUUUACUAAACGUCGGCGGAAUUAAUGCGGAACAAACGCGGCGGUAACCGGGCCAACUAAUUUUUG